CUUAUCAAUUAACAAAUAUAAUGUGUUGCUGGCUCCUUUAAGAUCAUGGGGUGUACAGACAUACAUUCAUAACAUCUGCCCUUUGAAAAUCAUUAGUACAUGGUCAACCGCCUCCAGGAAGGGACCUGAGCCUGCUCAGGUUAUUGGGCACUCGUUACAGUUUUAAUUUCAAACUAAUUCAGAAAAAGUCCAGUGGUCCCCAAUGAAGGGUUUGAAAUGACUAUUACGAGACUAGCAGUACCAGCAUUUGCACGGCUUUAUUACAAUUACCGGUUGUUGUUUCUUUAAAGAUUUCCUGAGGCACAGCAACAUCUACGUGAAGCACACAUAGAAUCUUCUCCUAUUCGCGUUCACACAGAAGUGAAUUCACAUAAUUCACUCCGAACUGACAACUGCU